ACGCACGCUGGCGGCAUGCCUAACACAUGCAAGUCGCACGAGACCUUCGGGUCUAGUGGCGCACGGGUGCGUAACGCGUGGGAACCUGCCCUUAGGUUCGGAAUAACUCCCCGAAAGGGGUGCGAAUACCGGAUAAUGUCUUCGGACCAAAGAUUUAUCGCCUUUGGAUGGGCCCGCGUUGGAUUAGCUAGUUGGUAGGGUAAAAGCCUACCAAGGCGACGAUCCAUAGCUGGUCUGAGAGGAUGAGCAGCCACACUGGGACUGAGACACGGCCCAGACUCCUACGGGAGGCAGCAGUGGGGAAUAUUGGACAAGGGGCGAAAGCCUGAUCCAGCAAUGCCGCGUGAGUGAUGAAGGCCUUAGGGUUGUAAAGCUCUUUUACCCGGGAUGAUAAGGACAGUACCGGGAGAAUAAGCUCCGGCUAACUCCG
rnacentral:rRNA from 1 species